CGGGUGAGUAAUGUCUGGGAAACUGCCUGAUGGAGGGGAAUAACUGCUGGAAACGGUAGCUAAUACCGCAUAACGUCGCAAGACCAAAGAGGGGGACCUUCGGGCCUCUUGCCAUCGGAUGUGCCCAGAUGGGAUUAGCUAGUAGGUGGGGUAACGGCUCACCUAGGCGACGAUCCCUAGCUGGUCUGAGAGGAUGACCAGCCACACUGGAACUGAGACACGGUCCAG
rnacentral:rRNA from 1 species